UACAGAGGUCUCAAGCGUUGUUCGGAUUCAUUGGGCGUAAAGGGUGCGUAGGUGGCGUGGUAAGUCGGGUGUGAAAUUUCGGAGCUUAACUCCGAAACUGCAUUCGAUACUGCCGUGCUUGAGGACUGGAGAGGAGACUGGAAUUUACGGUGUAGCGGUGAAAUGCGUAGAUAUCAUAAGGAAGACCAGUGGCGAAGGCGGGUCUCUGGACAGUUCCUGACGCUGAGGCACGAAGGCCAGGGGAGCAAACAGG
rnacentral:rRNA from 1 species